ensembl:lncRNA
CUACAGGAUAGAAUUAGCAGGUAUGCUAGUCUAGCUAAUAUCCCCUCUGGUUACAUUGUUCUGUAACGGCUCAUUCUCGUAUGAGCAAUUGAGCAUAUCAACUCACUGUGCUAAGUCUAGGGUUGCAAAAAUACAUAAGGUAUACUUUCAAAAAAAAUUCCAUGGUUUUCCAGAAAUCCUGGUUGGAAGAUUCCUCUUAAGAUUCUGAGCAAUGUGUCAAUGACCACACUAUGAAUAUAUGUGUAUCUGAGUUAGGUUGUUUUGGUUGGCGGUCAAUUCCGUCGAUUCAUGGAAAAAAAAAGAAAGUAAAAGCAUUUAACAAUUCAAGGAUUUAAUUGAAACUUACCAAAUUUCAACUUUUGAAUUGACUGAAUCGAUAGUUGAACUGAGCCCAACUCUGCGUUGAACCUCUCUAAAUGUGUCCUCCCUCAAUCUCAGACCUGUAGUUAUUUUUUAUUUUUUUAUUUUACCUUUAUUUAACUAGGCAAGUGAGUUAAGAACACAUUCUUAUUUUCAAUGACGGCCUGGGAACAGUGGGUUAACUGCCUGUUCAGGGGCAGAACGACAGAUUUGUACCUUGUCAGGUCAGAGGUUUGAACUCACAACCUUCCGGUUAAUAGUCCAACGCUCUAACCACCCUGCCGCCCCAGUUCAAUCAACAACUUCUCGAUGUCAUUGACUAUGUUGUUCUUAUGAAUGUAUUCAGGCUGUCUGUGUCUAUGACUAUACUAUCAGUGUUAUUGUCAAUGAAUGUAACUAUUUGAAUGUUCUCUGACUGCCUGUCAAUGAAUGUAACUAUUUGAAUGUUUUCUGACAGUGUCUGAAUGUAUUUCAGUUUCCGUAGGACUACUCAUGUUCUGAGUCCCACCAAUAUCAGACCUCUGAAUAUCAGAGUGCCCAAAUGGCGGUAUUUUCCCUACAUAGUGCACUACUUUUGACCAGAGCCAUCAAAAGUAAUGCACUAGGGGAUAGGCUGCAAUUUGGGACUCAGUUCAACCUGUUGAUCAGCCUGUUGAUCAACCUGUUGAUCAGCCUGUAAAACUGUUGGAGACGUUCAGGUUGAGGUUUUCAGUUCGGACAGCAAGCAAACAUUUGUUGUGUUAUACUUGUUUAAAAAAAAUAAUUCUGUGAAACAUAUGAGACGAUCAGCAAUUGGCCAUUGGGUACAUGUCAAUCAUUCCUCAAUCAGCCCCAGCCCCACCCCCAUUGCUGUUUACUUACACACACACACACACACACACACACACACACACACACAAAUACACGUUUUAUCUGUUUAUUAUUGUUAUUACUAGGCUAUUAUUAUGAUUAUUUUUAAAUGCAUGAUGAGGUAAUAAUGUAAAUAGUUCAUUCACAAAGACGUCUUUCCACAUUCUGAAGGACCACGUUCGACAUUCGUACGAGGCUAGAAGAAAGUGUUUGAAUAGAGAACACAGCAUGUGGGCUAGUUAUUAAUAUUAUGUUGCAACUGUGAAAGAGAGAGGGGCAGAGAGAGAGAGAGGCAGAGAGAGAGGCAGAGAUAGAGGCAGUGAGAGAGAGGCAGGGUUGAGAGAGAGAGAGGCAGUGAGAGAGGCAGAGAGAGAGAGAGAAAGGCAGAGAAAGCAAAGGAGAGAAAGGCAGAAAGAAAGGCAGAGAAAGGAGAAAGGCAGAGAGAAAGGCAGAGAGAGAAAGGCAGAGAGAGAGAGAAAGGCAGAGAGAAAGGCAGAGAGAAAGGCAGAGAGAGAGGCAGAGAGAGGCAGGCAGAGAGAAAGGCAGAGAGAGAGGCAGAGAGAGAGAAAGGCAGAGAGAAAGGCAGAGAGAAAGGCAGAGAGAGAGGCAGAGAGAGAGAGAAAGGCAGAGAGAAAGGCAGAGAGAAAGGCAGAGAGAGAGGCAGAGAGAGAGAGAAAGGCAGAGAGAAAGGCAGAGAGAGAGGCAGAGAGAGAGAGGCAGAGAGAGAAAAACAGAGAGAGAGAGAGGCAGAGAGAGAGAGAGAGAAUAACAUCUAACUACAACUAACUAGGUUAUAAGUUUUACAGUAAUCAGCACAGCACCUGUAGACCAGACCAGGCCCAUAGUACUUUGUCCUUCAGUAAGCCACUCUAAAUGGUGAUUACAUUUCUUAGAUCCAACUCACAGUUUCUACGUGAAACAAGCACACCCCGCAGCUCAUGUCAAUCAGAGUAACACUGAGGAGUAAGAGCGGGUGGGUUUAUUUUGCGUUUAGAGAGUUAUAGUAGUGUCUUCUUAGAUCAGGGCUGCUGAAACCCUUUUCAUGGAGAGCUACCCUCCUGUAGGUUGUUGCUCCAACCCUUAGCUAACAUACCUGAUUUAGCUAGGUAAGGUGUUGUUGAGCAUCUAGGGUUGGACGGACCCUGCAGGAGAAGAGCUCUCCGUGAACAUGGAUGGGCAGCCUUGUCUUGGAUCAACACCAGGCAACAGCAGACUUGCAGAGCCUUCAGAAAACAUUCACACCCCUGAACUUUUUAUACAUUUUAUUCUGUUACAGCUUGAAUGGAAAAAAAUGAUCAAAUUGAGAUUUUGUGUCAUUGGCCUUAAUGUCAAAAUGUCAUUGUGUUUUUUUUUAAAUUGACAAAUUACUUAAAAAUUAAAAGCUGAAAUGUCUUGAGCAUAUACUCACACAAUGAGCUGUAAGGUCCUUCAGUUGAGCAAUGCAUAUCAAAUACAGAUUCAACCACAAAGAACAGGGAGGUUUUCCAAUGCUUCACGAAGAAGGGCACCUAUUGGUAGAUGGCUAAACAUAAAAAAGCAGACAUUGAAUAUCCCUUUGAGCAUAGUGAAGCUAUUAAUAACACUUUGGAAGGUGUAUCAAUACACCCAGUCACUACAAAGAUACAGGCGUCCUUCCUAACUCAGUUGCCAGAGAUGAAGGAAACCACUGAAGGAUUUCACCAUGAGGCCAAUUGUGACUUUAAAACAGUUACUGAGUUUUAAUGGCUGUGAUAGGAGAAAACUGAGGAUGGAUCCACAACAUUGUAGUUCCUCCACAAUACUAACCUAAAUGACAGAGUGAAAAGAAACAAUCCUGCAUAGAAAAACAAUAUUCCAAAACAUGCAUCCUGUUUGCAAUAAGGCAUUUAAGUAAAAUCCAAAAAACACAUAACUGAGUACCACUGUUCAUAUUUUCAAGCAUGGUGGUGGCUGCAUCAUGUUAUGGGUAUGCUUGUCAUCAGCAAAGACUAGGGAGUUUUUUUAGGAUAAAAAUAAAUGAAAUAGAGCUAAGGCAAAAUCUUAGAGGAAAAUCUGGUUCAGUCUGCUUUCCACCAGACACUGGGAGAUUAAUUUACCUUUCAGCAGGACAACAACCUAAAACACAAGGCCAAAUAUAAACAGCAGUUGGUUACCAAGACAACAUUGAAUGUUCCUGAGUGGCAUAAUUAAAAUCAGCUUGAAAAUCUAUGGCAAGACAUGAAAAUGGCUGUCAAGCAAUGAUCAACAACCAACUUGACAGAGCUUGAAGAAUUUUCUUAAGAAUAAUGUGCAAAUAUUGUACAAUAAAGGUGCAAAGCUCUUUUGAAACUUACCCAGAAAGACUCACAGGUGUAAUCACUCUUAGAGACUCACUCAAAAAGACUCACAGGUGUAAUCCCUGCCAAAGGUGAUUCUAACAUGUAUUGACUCAGGG